rnacentral:rRNA from 1 species
CGACAAGCACUGUGUAUAUAUUGGUCGCCCACUGAAGCUAAGCAGGGCUGCGCCCGGUCAGUACCUGGAUGGAAGACCACAUGGGAAAGCUAGGUUGCUGC